AUGGGGGACUCACGAUCUAGGUGGUUGACAACGGCGGUAACUCCGACGGAGCAAGGAGACCACGGUGACCGGAGAAUGUGGUGCGCGGAUGGACGUUUCGCCGGUCUGGAGUGUGGCAGAUCUGUGAACGAAGGAGCGGCGGACUGUUGUGGCCGUGGUGACGGCAAAUGCGUGGCGGUACGUUGUUCCGGCCGAUUUCCUCUUCUUUGCUUUCUUACGAUUUGUCACUGA